rnacentral:rRNA from 1 species
UCCAGACUCCUACGGGAGGCAGCAGUGGGGAAUAUUGGGCAAUGGGCGCAAGCCUGACCCAGCAACGCCGCGUGAAGGAAGAAGGCUUUCGGGUUGUAAACUUCUUUUCUCAGGGACGAAUAGAUGACGGUACCUGAGGAAUAAGCCACGGCUAACUACGUGCCAGCAGCCGCGGUAAUACGUAGGUGGCAAGCGUUAUCCGGAUUUACUGGGUGUAAAGGGCGUGUAGGCGGGGACGCAAGUCAGAUGUGAAAACCACGGGCUCAACCUGUGGCCUGCAUUUGAAACUGUGUUUCUUGAGUACUGGAGAGGCAGACGGAAUUCCUAGUGUAGCGGUGAAAUGCGUAGAUAUUAGGAGGAACACCAGUGGCGAAGGCGGCCUGCUGGACGAUGACUGACGUUGAGGUUCGAAAGCGUGGGGAGCAAACAGGAUUAGAUACCCCGGUA